CCUACGGGAGGCAGCAGUGAGGAAUAUUGGUCAAUGGACGAGAGUCUGAACCAGCCAAGUAGCGUGAAGGAUGACUGCCCUAUGGGUUGUAAACUUCUUUUAUAGGGGAAUAAAACGUGCCACGUGUGGGAUGUUGUAUGUACCAUAUGAAUAAGGAUCGGCUAACUCCGUGCCAGCAGCCGCGGUAAUACGGAGGAUCCGAGCGUUAUCCGGAUUUAUUGGAUUUAAAGGGAGCGUAGGUGGAUUGUUACGUCAGUUGUGCAAGUUUGCGGCUCAACCGGAAAAUUGCAAGUGAUACUGGCAGUCUUGAGUACAGUUGCGGUAGGCGGACUUCGUGGUGUAGCGGU
rnacentral:rRNA from 1 species